CCAUUUCGUGUAUGUGUCUUGUGGGUGAGACGAAUGGCAAAAAUCUCUUGCGUUUUAUGCAUUUUUGUGUGGCUCGUAGUCUGUCCAUCAACUCCCCAUGUGCUGGAUGGUUGCAGAGGAGGGAGAGCAGUGGUUUUGGCUGACAUUCACUCAUCUGGGAGGGAUAGAGAGCCUCGCUGGAGCAGAGGCCAUCUUCAGAGUUGCCAAGGCUGAGAGUGAAGCUCCCUGUUGGUAGGAGCUUGGCAUCUGCUUUCACACCUUGGGCUGGACUUUGGAGACCUGAGGUGCAACAGUGGUGGCAGAAGACAUAUUACCUGGAGCUGGAGCUGUAAUGUUGGGACCAAGAAGGAAAGAUCAAGAAAACUACAGAGACACUGGCCCUGGCAUCUCGGUGCUACCAAAAUAAUGCCAUCAGUCAACAGGUGUGGGACUGUGGCUUUUCCAGCAGGGGUUUUGCCAUGUAAAUUCUUUGGGAAACUGCCGACACCCUGAUCUUCUUCAAUGGUGAGACUUGGAUGAAUUCAGG